rnacentral:lncRNA from 1 species
AAAGACCAGACAGUCUGAACUCGGAUCCUCCCAGCCCACCUCAGAAUCAGUUAGGGCAACCUAUGGCUCCCCCAACUCAAAAUCAGUAUGGUCAACCUAUGGCUCCUGCACCUCAGUAUCAGUACGGUCAACCUAUGGCUCCACCGACUCAAAAUCAGUAUGGUCAACCUCUGGCUCCUCCGACUCAAAAUCAAUACGAUCAACCUCUGGCUCCUCCGACUCAAAAUCAAUAUGGUCAACCUAUGGCUCCACCAACUCCGCCCCCACCCGGACCAAACGAGGAUUCAAUGACUCCCCCACCUCAGAAUCAGAAUGGGGAUGGGCAGUUCAUGCCUCCUCCCACUUUGGACCAAGAUCCAAACGACCAG